UCAAGAUUUUUUUUUUCGAAAGAAUUUUAUAGAUACAGUGUUUGUUUUACUUCUUUAUUUGCCUUGUUGGGUAGUCAUGCAUAUGUUGACUGGCAUCAAAUAUAGCUCUCAUCUACCCCAUGGAAAUAAGCUUCUAUUGACUUGAACUAAGACCAGUUCUGGUAGCCUUGUCAGUGGAAAAGUCUGGCUGUGUCUAGCUGUGGCUGUGGCACCAGGAUGCGGUGGAUGCACCUGUUCUACUUGUAUAACGUUGGCACUAAUGUAGCGGCUGCUUUUCUGUGCAUUUGCCUUUGUAAAUUGUGAAAGGCCGACUUGAUUGUUGAGCUGAGCCCCACAUCCUGUGCAAACCAUACUGGCUUUCGGUGGCAUGCUGCCUCAUUUCUAGAGGAGAUUUUGAGAUCCAGCUUUUCUAUGGUUGAACACUGGAUGAGAAAACAUUAAGUUGGAAAUCCUGAAGAUGAUGUUAGGAAACUGAGAUCCAGAAAGAUGAAAAGGCGGUUUUCCCAAGUACAUCAUCAUCCUCAUCCUCAUCCUCAUCCUCAUCUUCAUCAUCAUCACAGCAACAAUCACAGUGCUUGCCUAGUGCCAACUACUGAUCUAGGCACUUUAUAUGUAUUAGUGGUAACUCACGUAAUCUUCAUAACAACCUUAUGAAGUGGUUACUAUUAUCUCUAUCUUACAGAUGAAGGAACAGAAGUACAGAGUGGUCGCAUAGCUGUUAAGAAGUUAUGCCAUGCUUGAGGUUGAAAUGGAAGAAGGAAGAUUUAAAGUUGAAAGAAAGGAAUAAGAGACGGGGAGGACAGAAGUUAAAUCAGACUAAGAGGACUUUGACAGUCAUUGAGAAAAAAAGCUCCAAGUAGUUGCUGGUCCCAGAAUGAAGAGACAAGUAGAGCCAACCUGACCUCAUUCUGAUGGCUGAUUGUACCCAGCAGAGCCCCAAUGAACUUGCAGACUU